rfam:Myotis brandtii contig198909, whole genome shotgun sequence.
GGUGGUUCUCAGGUGAUACCCCCGGGAAUCGGGCUCCCUCCUCUCUGGUUCUGGGUGCGUCACCUGAGAACCACA